rnacentral:tRNA from 2 species
AACUUUUAGAGGAUGAUAGAUAUCCGUUGGUCUUAGGAAUCAAAAAU